CAGGUUAAAUUUUUUUAAAAAAAUUAAAGCAAAAGAUCCAAAGCUACAUCCUAUACCAUUCAACCCCAUCAUAUAGAGAUGAAGAACGAAAAAAGAGAAAAAACAAUAGAAAGAACCUCAAAGAAUUCACUUUUCUUUGUCAUCGGCAUGGCGUACGGAAAAACGUUGGAUACAUAGCUUCUAAGCUCUGAACUUUCUGGUUCGCGUAAUUUCUAGAAUCCAUGAACACUC
rnacentral:lncRNA from 1 species